rnacentral:rRNA from 1 species
CCUACGGGAGGCUGCAGUGAGGAAUAUUGGUCAAUGGACGAGAGUCUGAACCAGCCAAGUAGCGUGAAGGAUGACUGCCCUAUGGGUUGUCAACCUCUUUUAUAAGGGAAGAAUAAAUGCUACGUGUAGCAUGAUGCCUGUACCUUAUGAAUAAGCAUCGGCUAACUCCGUGCCAGCAGCCGCGUGAAUACGGAGGAUGCGAGCGUUAUCCGGAUUUAUUGGGUUUAAAUGGUGCGUAGGCGGUUGUUUAAGUUAUUGGUUAAACGUCGGGGCUUCACCGUGAUUUGCCAUUAAUACUGUAAGACUCGAGUUCAGACGAGGUAGGCGGAAUAAGUUAAGUAGCGGUGAAAUGCUUAGAUAUAACUUAGAACUCCGAUAGCGAAGGCAGCUUACCAGACUGCGACUGACGCUGAAGCACGAGAGCGUGGGUAGCGAACAGGAUUAGAUACCCGAGUAGUC